UUAGGACAUUUUGUGAAGGUAGUUUUCAUGUGAACAAUAUUACUCCGGCUGAUGCUCUCCUGAUACAAGAAAGAAACUGUCAAUAUUUAUGCGCUCCUGGUACAAGUCCUAUACUUUACGCGUGUAUUAGUACAGAAACAUAGGUACCUAGUGCUUAUGAAGCCGAACCUGAAAGUAAAAUAGUUCCUUAUGGAAAAAUGUGGGAUAAAUUGAUUGAUGGAAUGGCUGUGCACUCCUGAUACAAAUCUUGUUCUUGACACGUCUAUUACAGACUUCACAAUAUGUUUUCCUGGCACUCUGAGGUAGUUUUGAUGUGAACAAUUACUCUGGCUGAUGCUCUCCUGAUACAAGAAAGAAACUGUCAAUAUUUAUGCGCUCCUGGUACAAGUCCUAUACUUUACGCGUGUAUUAGUACAGAAACAUUGGUACCUAGUCCUUAUGAAGCCGAACCCGAAAGUAAAAUAGUUCCUUAUGGAAAAGUGUGGGGUAAAUUGAUUGUUGGAAUGAGUUCACAAUAUGUUUUCCGGGCACUCUGAGGUAAUGUUUGACGAAUACCUUCUUAACAAGAUAAUUAGGACAUUUAUGAAGGUAGUUUUCAUGUGAACAAUUACUCUGGCUGAUGCUCUCCUGAUACAAGAAAGAAACUGUCAAUAUUUAUGCGCUCCUGGUACAAGUCCUAUACUUACUACGCGUGUAUUAGUACAGAAACAUAGGUACUUAGUGCU